rnacentral:rRNA from 1 species
UACAGAGGGGGCAAGCGUUGUUCGGAAUUACUGGGCGUAAAGGGCGCGUAGGCGGCCCGCUAAGUCGAACGUGAAAUCCCCGAGCUCAACUCGGGAACUGCGUCCGAUACUGGCGGGCUUGAAUUCGGGAGAGGGAUGCAGAAUUCCAGGUGUAGCGGUGAAAUGCGUAGAUAUCUGGAGGAAUACCGGUGGCGAAGGCGGCAUCCUGGACCGACAUUGACGCUGAACGGCGAAAGCUAGGGGAGCAAACGGG